UGGAAAAGUUCCUAACCGCAUGUCUGUAUUACACCUAUGACACAGACUGUCAGUAUUGCAAACCCUAUGUGAAGACUCUGCUUUCACUGUUUAUGUAUACACCCCUAGACAACCGUGCUAUACAUGCACAAUAAAUCUUCAAAAGCCUAUUAAUAUUAUAUCUGUGUGGUACACAAAUAGGUGUACACAAAGAGGGGGUGUGAGUUAAGUCAUCUCGACCUUCAUAUGGAAUAUGCUUCCUCCUUGUUCACUUUUGGUCAAACUGUUGGUCUGUGACUGGCCCUCUUUGACCCCAACUGAAUUUCUUGGGAAGAUUCAUGAGAAAGAUACGGCAGGUUGUUUUGGAUAUAAAGAAAGAGGGAAAAGUAUGUUGUGAUUGUGAUCUUAAGCAGG